rnacentral:lncRNA from 1 species
GAAUUGUGAGGGCCCUUGUGGAUUAUAGUGGGGUUGGAGGGCUGAGGAAGACGACCAAGAUGGUGGUUUCUCCACCUAGGGGGUCUCCCCUUCUCGGGGAGCGAGUGAUGAUAGGCGACGACACCCUCUUCCCCCAUUUGCUCAGUCCUCCUUCCAUGGUGUAGGGGAGGAUAGCGAGGCCAUGGCCUCUUCUUGGGUUUCCCUUUUCCAUG